GAUGAACGCUGGCGGCGUGCCUAAUACAUGCAAGUCGAGCGAACAGACGAGGAGCUUGCUCCUCUGACGUUAGCGGCGGACGGGUGAGUAACACGUGGAUAACCUACCUAUAAGACUGGGAUAACUUCGGGAAACCGGAGCUACUACCGGAUAAUAUAUUGAACCGCAUGGUUCAAUAGUGAAAGACGGUUUUGCUGUCACUUAUAGAUGGAUCCGCGCCGCAUUAGCUAGUUGGUAAGGUAACGGCUUACCAAGGCAACGAUGCGUAGCCGACCUGAGAGGGUGAUCGGCCACACUGGAACUGAGACACGGUCCAGACUCCUACGGGAGGCAGCAGUAGGGAAUCUUCCGCAAUGGGCGAAAGCUUGACGGAGCAACGCCGCGUGAGUGAUGAAGGUCUUCGGAUCGUAAAACUCUUUUAUUAGGGAAGAACAAAUGUGUAAGUAACUAUGCACGUCUUGACGGUACCUAAUCAGAAAGCCACGGCUAACUACGUG
rnacentral:rRNA from 1 species